CCCAUCUGCUGCAGUCUUUGAGACUUUAUGAAGAUCUGAGAAAAGGAAAAAAAGUGGAUAAAGAGUGUGCACUUCUGUUGGGGCAAUGACUCCGGGGCGGAAGAGGCUGAAAGAAAGGACCAAUGCAGGGAGGAAAAGAAAUUGCCCAACUCCUUCCAGGGAAUGUAGAUGAAAACAUAUAGACACAAUUGGGAGAAAAUUUGGGGCAG
rnacentral:lncRNA from 1 species